rnacentral:rRNA from 1 species
AUUGAACGCUGGCGGCAUGCCUUACACAUGCAAGUCGAGCGCGAAAGGGGGCAACCCCGAGUAGAGCGGCGGACGGGUGAGUAACACAUCGGAACGUGCCCAGUAGUGGGGGACAACCUCGAGAAAUCGAGGCUAAUACCGCAUACGACCCACGGGUGAAAGCGGGGGACCGCAAGGCCUCGCGCUAUUGGAGCGGCCGAUGUCCGAUUAGCUAGUUGGCGGGGUAANAGCCCACAAGGCGACGAUCGGUAGCUGGUCUGAGAGGACGACCAGCCACACUGGGACUGAGACA